rnacentral:misc_RNA from 1 species
GGGAUCUCAAACUUCUCCAAACGAGCAGCCUUCGCUGCCUUCACUAAGGAAGCAUAGACCUCCUUGAUAGUUUCUUCCUUCUGACAUAACUCAUGAAAAUCGACAAAGUUAAUUCCAUGCUUCCUAGCCCAGUCUUCCACAGCAGCUUGAGCAGCCACCACUAUAGCUACACAAUAACUGUGGAACGGAUCGGCAUGCAACAUUAUAUUAUCAACAUAGGAACUGACAAUAAGAGCAGCCUCAACCUUUCCCAAGGAAACAUAUUCCCCGUGUUGAAGUUUAACAAUGUCCUUUUUACGGUCAAUUAUCUCAAGGCAACCAUCUGCAUGAAAUUGCCCUAUGUCACCUGUAUAGAACCAGCUCAUUCCUCUCUCGUCAACCUUGUACACUUCUUUCGUCUUCUCCUCAUUUUUGAAAUAUCCAAGGGUAACAUUUGGACCACCAAUAAUAAUUUCACCUCGAGGCAUUGGGGAGUCACUUGUUUGAUAUCCACCCUCAGCCCAAUCUAUCAACUUGAUGUACGAGCAAGGAAGUGGAGGACCAACACGUCCAACAGAAGUAUCAUCAUAAUCACUAAAUGUUCCACCAGCACAGGUCUCGGUAAGACCAUAACCUUGGC